GCCCUGGGGCCCCUCCCUCCCCCCCCCCUCCUGGAACGCGAGGAGCGACCACACCGGCCGGGGCUCCAGCUCCGGGGGCAGCUCCCCGCCAGUAACGCCCUGGCCUGGUGCUGGGGGCCGGGGUGCUGCUCCGCACAGCGUGGGGGCGCCCCGUGGGGGGAGGGUCCUCCCCGGCCUGUGCCCUCCCGCCUUCCCCCCCAGGGUCCUCCCUAUCCCGCACCCUCCCCCCUCCACCCUCCCAGGGGAGCGCAGGAUCCCGGCUGUGUGCCCCCAAGCGACCUGGGAUCCGGGCCCUGUGCUGCUGGACCCGCUCGGUGCCCCCUCUGCCGCCUCUCCCUCCGCCCGGAGGCCCCCCCAGGGAUCGGGGCUCAGCCCCCUCCGCCCGGAGCCCCCCCAGGGAUCGGGGCUCAGCCCCCUCCGCCCGGAGCCCCCCCAGGGAUCCGGGCUCAGCCCCCUCUGCCCGGAGUCCCCUCAGGGAUCGGGGCUCAGCCCGCUCCGCCCGGAGCCCCCCCCCAGGGAUCGGGGCUCAGCCCCCUCCGACCGGAGCCCCCCCCAGGGAUCGGGGCUCAGCCCCCUCCGUCCGGAGCACCCCCCCAAGGGAUCGGGGCUCAGCCCCCUCCGCCCGGAGCCCCCCCCCAGGGAUCGGGGCUCAGCCCCCUCCGCCCGGAGCCCCCCCAGGGAUCGGGGCUCAGCCCCCUCUGCCCGGAGCCCCCCCCCGGGGAUCGGGGCUCAGCCCCCUCCGCCCGGAGCCCCCCCCAGGGAUCGGGGCUCAGCCCCCUCCGCCCGGAGCCCCCCCCGGGAUCGGGGCUCAGUCCCCUCCGACCGGAGCCCCCCCAGGGAUCGGGGCUCAGCCCCCUCCGCCCGGAGCCCCCCCCAGGGAUCGGGGCUCAGCCCCCUCCGCCCGGAGCCCCCCCAGGGAUCGGGGCUCAGCCCCCUCCGCCCGGAGCCCCCCCCGGGAUCGGGGCUCAGUCCCCUCCGACCGGAGCCCCCCCAGGGAUCGGGGCUCAGCCCCCUCCGCCCAGAGCCCCCCCCAGGGAUCCGGGCUCAGCCCCCUCCGCCCGGAGCCCCCCCACUUCUCCCCGGGCCCCCCCAAUUCUCCCCGAGGCCCCGGGGCCGCGCUCCAGCCCUUCACCGAGACCCCGCGGGGUGGGUGCGCUUCCCCCCGCGCCCUCCUCCCCUGGUGACCCGGGGCUGGAGGCGUCACCCCCUCCUGGGCCCCCCCAUUUCCCCGCUGAGCACUGUUCCGUCGGGGAAGAGCCGGGAGGAUUGUUAGAGCCCCCCGGCCCGGCCCGGCCUCCUGCCCGACGCCCCCCCGCCGGCUCCUCGGGGCCCCUCCCCGCUUGCUUCUCAUUUAUCCAUUUUGCCCGCGCUCCUCCCUUGUUGGCGGCGACCCCGUCCGUGUGGCGUCGGGGCGUCCUCCUGCUGCUCAGGUGCGCUGCCGGGCGUCCGGGAGGCGGGGAGUGGGGGUGCGCCGGGCUGAGGAGCCGGCGGGGUGAGCCCCUGCUCUCCUGCCCUCUUGCCCGCCCUGUGAAGUUAACCUUAAUAAGCAUCAGAAAAACCUGGGCUGUUUUGCCAAAAGUCCUGAGUUUCUUGAAAGAAAUAUAUUCUCAUGCUUAUAGAAAUGUUAAAUAA
rnacentral:lncRNA from 1 species